rnacentral:rRNA from 1 species
AGGGGUUUUGAUCCUGGGCUCAGGACGAACGCUGGCGGCGUGCCUAAUGCAUGCAAGUCGAACGAAGAACCCACUCUGGGUAACCAAGGUGGAAUUCUUAGUGGCGAACGGGUGAGUAACACGUGAGAAACCUGCCCCGGAGACCGGGAUAGCCCAGGGAAACCUGGAUUAAUACCGGAUAUCCUCCAAUGACCGCAUGGUCGCUGGAGGAAAGGGUCCGCCGCUCCGGGAUGGUCUCGCGACCUAUCAGCUUGUUGGUGAGGUAGCGGCUCACCAAGGCAAUGACGGGUAGCUGGUCUGAGAGGACGAUCAGCCACACUGGGACUGAGACACGGCCCAGACUCCUACGGGAGGCAGCAGCAGGGAAUUUUGCACAAUGGGCGCAAGCCUGAUGCAGCGACGCCGCGUGGGGGAUGAAUGCCUUCGGGUUGUAAACCCCUUUCAGGAGGGACGAAGCGAAAGUGACGGUACCUCCAGAAGAAGCCCCGGCCAACUACGUGCCAGCAGCCGCGGUAAUACUGUA